rnacentral:rRNA from 1 species
CAUGGCUUUUUGUUAUUUAUAUAAGGUUUAACCUGCCCAAUGAUGUAAUUAAAUGGCCGCGGUAUUUUGACCGUGCAAAGGUAGCAUAAUCAUUAGUUUUUUAAUUGAAAGCUGGAAUGAAAGGUUGAAUGAGAAAAUGACUGUCUUUAUUAUAUUUAAUUAAAACUUUAUCUUUAAGUUAAAAAGCUUAAAUAAUAUUUAAAGACGAGAAGACCCUUUAGAGUUUUAUAAAAAAUUAGUUUUUGGACUUUAAGAAUUAACUAUAAGAAAAUUAACUUUUAUUUAGUUGGGGCGAUUAAAAAAUUUAAAAAACUUUUUUUUUUAUUUAACAUUAAUUUAUGAAUAUUUGAUCCAUAUAUUAUGAUUAUAAGAUUAAAUUACCUAAGGGAUAACAGCGUUAUUUUUUUUGAGAGUUCUUAUCGAAAAAAGAGAUUGCGACCUCGAUGUUGGAUUAAAAUUAAAUUAUGGUGUAGAAGCUAUAAC